rnacentral:rRNA from 1 species
UGGGUGAGUAACGCGUGGGUAACCUGCCCUUAAGUCUGGGAUACCAUUUGGAAACAGAUGCUAAUACCGGAUAAAAGCCACUUUCGCAUGAAGGAAGUUUAAAAGGCGGCGUAAGCUGUCGCUAAAGGAUGGACCUGCGAUGCAUUAGCUAGUUGGUAAGGUAACGGCUUACCAAGGCGAUGAUGCAUAGCCGAGUUGAGGGACUGAUCGGCCACAUUGGGACUGAGACACGGCCCAAACUCCUACGGGAGGCAGCAGAC